rnacentral:rRNA from 1 species
GUGGAUUAGAUACCCUGGUAGUCCACGCCCUAAACGAUGUCAACUAGCUGUUGGGGCCUUCGGGCCUUAGUAGCGCAGCUAACGCGUGAAGUUGACCGCCUGGGGAGUACGGUCGCAAGAUUAAAACUCAAAGGAAUUGACGGGGACCCGCACAAGCGGUGGAUGAUGUGGAUUAAUUCGAUGCAACGCGAAAAACCUUACCUACCCUUGACAUGUCUGGAAUCCUUUAGAGAUAGAGGAGUGCUCGCAAGAGAACCGGAACACAGGUGCUGCAUGGCUGUCGUCAACU